UGAUGGAGCACGCCGCGUGUGUGAUGAAGGCUUUCGGGUCGUAAAGCACUGUUGUAUGGGAAGAACAGCUAGAAUAGGAAAUGAUUUUAGUUUGACGGUACCAUACCAGAAAGGGACGGCUAAAUACGUGCCAGCAGCCGCGGUAAUACGUAUGUCCCGAGCGUUAUCCGGAUUUAUUGGGCGUAAAGCGAGCGCAGACGGUUUAUUAAGUCUGAUGUGAAAGCCCGGAGCUCAACUCCGGAAUGGCAUUGGAAACUGGUUAACUUGAGUGCAGUAGAGGUAAGUGGAACUCCAUGUGUAGCGGUGGAAUGCGUAGAUAUAUGGAAGAACACCAGUGGCGAAGGCGGCUUACUGGACUGCAACUGACGUUGAGGCUCGAAAGUGUGGGUAGCAAACAGGAUUAGAUACCCUGGUAGUCCACACCGUAAACGAUGAACACUAGGUGUUAGGAGGUUUCCGCCUCUUAGUGCCGAAGCUAACGCAUUAAGUGUUCCGCCUGGGGAGUACGACCGCAAGGUUGAAACUCAAAGGAAUUGACGGGGACCCGCACAAGCGGUGGAGCAUGUGGUUUAAUUCGAAGCAACGCGAAGAACCUUACCAGGUCUUGACAUCCUUUGAAGCUUUUAGAGAUAGAAGUGUUCUCUUCGGAGACAAAGUGACAGGUGGUGCAUGGUCGUCGUCAGCUCGUGUCGUGAGAUGUUGGGUUAAGUCCCGCAACGAGCGCAACCCUUAUUGUUAGUUGCCAGCAUUCAGAUGGGCACUCUAGCGAGACUGCCGGUGACAAACCGGAGGAAGGCGGGGACGACGUCAGAUCAUCAUGCCCCUUAUGACCUGGGCUACACACGUGCUACAAUGGCGUAUACAACGAGUUGCCAACCCGCGAGGGUGAGCUAAUCUCUUAAAGUACGUCUCAGUUCGGAUUGUAGUCUGCAACUCGACUACAUGAAGUCGGAAUCGCUAGUAAUCGCGGAUCAGCACGCCGCGGA
rnacentral:rRNA from 1 species